CGCACCGCAGUUUGUGUACAACAUGGACAACGUUCUCCGACGCUGUCACAGAGAAAAAGUGUUUUAUGCCACUCAUUCUUUGUCUCAUUUUGUCCAACAAACGUUUCAUGCUGUGCGUGAAUGCACAAAGACGUCAUCUAAGUAGACGCAGCAUGGGCUGCUGUGACGCGAGAAAUUGGGCCGCCAUCUUGAAGUGGUGAUGAGGAGCCGGCGAGCAGCCUAAACUAACAGUUGACAGGUGGUCAGGGAGAGCGUUCCACAGACUGGGAGCGGCGGAGCAGAAAGCCCGGUCUCCCAUUCUUCGUAGCGUUGUCCUCGGAGGUUGGAGGAGGUUAGCCUGUCCGGAGCGGAGGUGUCGUGUGGAGGAAUUGGGGCUCCAGAUGGAUUUUUUGAGCAAAUGGACUCAAAGGUCAACCCUCAGGUGGACUACAUGCACGCCACAAAAAGGGCAGCUAUCGCCACCCGCCACGCCUUCAAAGAUCCGGGGAGGAGUCACAUGACUUGUUGUCUUGCAGGUAAACGCGCUCGAUUCUACGUCGACAUUUUUCGACCGAUUCCGAAAAAUGCAACACCAGCCCAUUCAUAUCAGCUAGUGCGCAGGUGUCAAACUCAAGGCCCGGGGGCCAGAUGCAA